GACGAACGCUGGCGGCGUGCUUAACACAUGCAAGUCGAACGGAAAGGCCCUGCUUUUGUGGGGUGCUCGAGUGGCGAACGGGUGAGUAACACGUGAGUAACCUGCCCUUGACUUUGGGAUAACUUCAGGAAACUGGGGCUAAUACCGGCUAGGAGCUCCUGCUGCAUGGUGGGGGUUGGAAAGUUUCGGCGGUUGGGGAUGGACUCGCGGCUUAUCAGCUUGUUGGUGGGGUAGUGGCUUACCAAGGCUUUGACGGGUAGCCGGCCUGAGAGGGUGACCGGCCACAGUGGGACUGAGAUACGGCCCAGACUCCUACGGGAGGCAGCAGUGGGGAAUAUUGCACAAUGGGCGGAAGCCUGAUGCAGCAACGCCGCGUGCGGGAUGACGGCCUUCGGGUUGUAAACCGCUUUCGCCUGUGACGAAGCGUGAGUGACGGUAAUGGGUAAAGAAGCACCGGCUAACUACGUG
rnacentral:rRNA from 1 species